AAGGAUCUAUCCAUGCAACCUUGUUUUCGAGUUUUUUGGUUGAGAUGUUGAUGUUGGACGGAUUUGUAGGUGAAGAAGGCCAAGGAGAAGGAAUAGGCUGUGAGUUUUGAAGAAGAAAGGGAAACACGAUCAUUAAGGAAGCUUAAGCGGAAAGCACCCGGUGUGGAGUACGCCAGCAUUUUCCAGGUUACAACGAGGUCAUUCCGGACGAUUUGGAUUAGAAGUGGGUCGUUGGCAGAGUCCGUGUGUUGCUGUUCCUGUUGCUUGAAGUUCUUCCCAUUUGGUACUCUAUCGAUUUACUAGCUUUUCUUUCAAUGUUGAACUCUGUGAGGUCCGCCUACCUGGGAGCGCGCCUCACCCCUUUGUUUUAUUGUUAUUGUUGAACUCCUUUCAUUUCGGUUAUGAUGUAAGCCCUAAGGCGCCACAGUGCACUUGCCCGCUUUGUUUUGAAGCAUUUCCAGACUUGU